CCCAGGAUGGGGCUGUCAAGAUGGCGCUGCCCAUGGCUGAGUGGUGUCCGCGGUGGAGGCGGUGGAACCCGUGAGAGGUGAAGAGUGCAAACGUCUGCUACACCGAGAGUGAACACAUCCAGCUAAAGAAUCCGAAGACCACGGGACAAAUGAGACACCUGAAGAAAAAGGGCAAAUCAUCCAGAAAAAAUUCACAAGAAAAAGAUUUUCUGCAGUGAAUCAAGACCAUGCCGAACAGAGAACUUUGAAGUCUCGAAUAGGAUUAUGGGACCAUACAACGAUGAUUCCACCAGGACUAUGAUAACACCACUAAGCUGGAAAACACCACCUAAAGAUUGACUACAAACUGCUCAAGACAAUUUCAAGGUGGCUAGCUGAGAUGAUCCAGCAUCACAGACUACUCUAGAUUGAGGCAGAGACCGGACAACAAAUGAUACGGCAACCUCUCCCAGGACUUGACAAUUAACCCAAAUUUUUCUUUUCAGAAUCCUCUAAAGAUGCCAUCAUCCCUAGACAGGGGAGAGUAAUUUUAAGAUCACGACGCCCACAUUCCCAAGAGGUGGGGUGGGAGGGUUUUGGUUGUUUAAUGGGCUAUGGAUAUUUGUCAUUGCUUAGAGGGGUUGGUAACAAAUUAUUAUUGGUUAUGGUCAAGGAAAAAGCUAAACAAAAGAGAUUAGAUUCAGGGUUCUUGUUCUGAAAAGAAAAAAGGGCGAUAUAGAUAUGAUAGGAUAUAAAGGU